UACGAAGGGGGCUAGCGUUGCUCGGAAUUACUGGGCGUAAAGGGCGCGUAGGCGGCUUAGUCAGUCAGGCGUGAAAUUCCUGGGCUUAACCUGGGGUCUGCGUUUGAGACGGCUAGGCUAGAGGAUAGGAGAGGGUCGUGGAAUUCCCAGUGUAGAGGUGAAAUUCGUAGAUAUUGGGAAGAACACCGGUGGCGAAGGCGGCGACCUGGCCUAUUACUGACGCUGAGGCGCGACAGCGUGGGGAGCAAACAGG
rnacentral:rRNA from 1 species